rnacentral:rRNA from 1 species
CGGAGGGGCUAGCGUUGUUCGGAAUUACUGGGCGUAAAGCGCACGUAGGCGGCUUUUAAGUCAGAGGUGAAAGCCCGGAGCUCAACUCCGGAAUUGCCUUUGAGACUGGAUCGCUUGAACGUCGGAGAGGUGAGUGGAAUUCCGAGUGUAGAGGUGAAAUUCGUAGAUAUUCGGAAGAACACCAGUGGCGAAGGCGGCUCACUGGACGACUGUUGACGCUGAGGUGCGAAAGCGUGGGGAGCAAACAGGAUU